rnacentral:pre_miRNA from 1 species
GCUCUCUGCUGUGGCCUAUGGCUUUUUAUUCCUAUGUGAUUGCUGCUUUGAACUCAUGUAGGGCUGAAAGCCAUGGGCUACAGAGAGGGGA